rnacentral:rRNA from 1 species
GACAGAGGCCACAAGCGUUAGGCGGAAUCACUGGGCUUAAAGCGUGUGUAGGCGGACCGUUAAGUGCCUUGUGAAAUCCCACGGCUCAACCGUGGAACGGCUGGGCAGACUGGCGGUCUUGAGCUGCCUAGGGGCGACUGGAACAAACGGUGGAGCGGUGAAAUGCGUAGAUAUUCGGAGGAACACCAGUGGCGAAGGCGGCUCACUGGUCCGGUACUGACGCUGAGGUGCGAAAGCGUGGGGAGCAAACAGG